ACAAUAGUGUCUGGAUUUGGUGACUGUGUGAGAUGGAUCCCCAUGUGGGACAGUCACUGGAUUACGUUUCCUUCAGGUUCUGCUCCAAACUUUGCCUCUGUAUCUCCUCCUGUGGGUAUUUUGAUCCCCUUCUAAGAAGCACUGAAGUUUCCACACUGUGGUCUUCCAAAAGGGUUCCUUGAGCCGUGAGGAGAGGGAUUUCAUGGAGCCAUCCCAUUUUAUCUAAGAGUUCCAAGGACUCUCACUUUUGGAGCAUUGCCUGGCUGUGGGUGUUAUGUUCCCAUUUGCUGCAAGAGCUCCUGUGAUGGUAACCGAUUCCACCCAGAUGACCAUCCAUCGAUUCUGAGAGAGCUGGCUGGUUGACUUGUUGCUAAAAUAUUCAGACAUCCUUUAGCCUGGGUUAAUAUGUGAAUAAAUAUAAUAUGAGUUUACAAAGGAGUAUAUGUCACUGUGAGUAUCUGUCACAUUUGUUCAGGUACCUAUGGAUGACAGAAGAGGGCAUUGGAUCCCCUGGAGCUGGAGUUAUAGGCAGUUAUCAAUUGGUCAACAUGGGUGCUGUGAACCGAAUUAAGAUUCUCUGCAAGAGCAUCAAGUACCAUCCCUCCAGGCCAGAGUUUUGCCAUUGGGGAGGGAAGAUUCAUCUGUUUUCUAAUCAUUCAUGUUAAGUAAUCUAUUACUGUCUUCAUGUAGUUCUCAAUAUAUGAAAUAAUAGGUUCUUAUUUGAUAAUUAAAGCAGUACAUUUAAAUUUCCAAAUGUAUGUAUUUCAUAAUUUAUCAAUAAAAUGAAUAAAGUAUCAUGUUUUGUAUUUUUGUCGUGCAUAGAGAACCCAGUUUUUAAAAUCAUAAACUAACAAAUAAUUAGCAGGUGAACAUAGUUCAAGAAAUAUUCUAUCAUAUCAAUGCAACAACGUUUUUAUUUUCCCCUCCACACAAUUUAAAAUUUAUGUCUGUUUGAGGAGGAGAUAGAGAGAUCAGUAGCUAGCUCAUUAUUCUGGAUGUUUAAAAAGUCUGAUCUCUUCUCCAACAGAGAUAUCAACAUGACUCAGACACAGUUUGGUGGACUUUUUCAGACUCCAGACAUCUGCCAGAAUGUGAACAAUGAAUGUGAAUGUCCUGUGUAAGCUUAAGAGGAAGCUUUUGGAUGAUUCUUGGAUAGAUCUUUUCUAAAUGUCAAUUAGAACUCAUUGAUGGAUGCUGCUGCUUGUUUCAACUAUAUUCUCAGUGAUUUAUUGCCUGCUGGAUUUUUCAGCUGUGGGUGGAUGUCAAAUUCGUGGCUGGCUGUAACUGAUCUGCUUAUUUGUCCUGCAGUUCUUUCUGUAGUGUCUCAUUUAUUUUGACUUUCUAUUAUUAGGUAUGCAGAAAUUAAAGAUUCUUAUAUAUUCUGUGAACCUGGAACAUUUCCAUAAGCUGUAUCUCUUUAUCCCUGACUGUUACUUUCUUACAGUCUGAAAACAAUGUAACCAUUCAAAUUUUCUUAAUAUACUAUUUUUUUACCAAAAUUCUUUCUUCAAUUUGUGCCACUGUAUUAAAAGCUCUGUCUCUUGUACAUUCAAAAGUUAUUUUAUUUUAAUGUGUGUAUAAUGUGAGUGUGUCUGUGCACAUGUGUUCAGGAGUCCUUAGAAACUGAAAGAAUGUGUUGGAUUUAUGGAAAGUGUGCAGCACUGGAUACUGUGCCUGGAACUUGAACUCUUGUCUUCUUACAGAACCUGUGUUCUCAGGCACUAAGCCACCUCCUAAGCUCAGAUUGUAUUUCAGUGAUAUUUCUCCAUAGUUUGCAUUUAACAUGUGAUCAUUGCUAUUAGUUUAUUAUGUGUGUAUGUAUUUUAUAUCUUGUAUUUUAAAACUCAUUUUUUAUUUAUUCAUACAUGUUAAUUGUUUUAAUCUUUGCUACUGUUUUUACUUUUUAAUUUAAGUGUGGAUCUUAGCUGUGAUCUUCUGUUAUAAAGAGUCUUAUUAUAGUGGUGACAUAUGUUUUUCUAUAAUUAGUAUCAACCCUGAAUUGAAUAUUUUUUUAUUUCUUACAAGUUCAGGGACUAGCUAUGUGCAUUAUGCACUAAGCUUUAUGAUGAAUAUUCAAAAAAUCUUUUCAUUUUAUACACCUUUUAACUUCUUUUAUUAUUAAGGAGGUGGUAAAGGAUGAUAUCAAAGUCCUGUGCAUUUUACAACUAGAGGAAGAAAUAUUGUUUGAAUGUGUUCUUUCGUAGUAUUUAAUCAGUGUUUUAAGAUUUAUUUUAUUCUUUCUGUUUGUUUCUUUGUUGAAAAUGAAUUCAUUUCACACAUAAUCUAUCUUGACUAAGAGUCCUCAUUCCUCUACUCUCCCCAGCUCCUGUUUACCUCCCCUCCCAUCUGGAUUCGGUCUCUGUAUGUCUCUCGAUAAAAAAGAACGUGUUUCUAAGAGAUAAUAAUUAAAUAUAACAAAAUAAAAU
rnacentral:lncRNA from 1 species